rnacentral:rRNA from 1 species
AACGAACGCUGGCGGCAUGCCUAACACAUGCAAGUCGAACGAGACCUUCGGGCCUAGUGGCGCACGGGUACGUAACGCCUGGGAACUUGCCCUUAGGUUCGGAAUAACUCCCCGAGAGGGGUGCUAAUACCGCAUAAUGUCUUCGGACCAAAGAUUUCUCGCCGUUGGGUGGGGGCGGGUUGGAUUAGCUGGUUGGUAGGGUAAAAGCCUACCAAGGCGACGAUGCAUGGCUGGUCUGGGAAGAUGAUCCGCCACACUGGGACUGCGACCCGGACCAGUCUCCUACGGGGGGCAGCAGUAGGGAAUAUUGGGCGAUGAGCGAAAGCCUAAUCCAGCAAUGCCGCGGGAGUGAUGAAGGCCUUAGGGUUGUAAAGCUCUUUUUCCCGGGAUGAGAAUGACAGUACCGGGAGAAUAAGCUCCGGCUAACUCCGUG